UACAGGGGGGGCAAGCGUUGUUCGGAAUUACUGGGCGUAAAGCGCACGUAGGCGGGUCGUUAAGUCAGGGGUGAAAUCCCGGAGCUCAACUCCGGAACUGCCUUUGAUACUGGCGAUCUUGAGAUCGGAAGAGGUGAGUGGAAUUCCCAGUGUAGAGGUGAAAUUCGUAGAUAUUGGGAAGAACACCAGUGGCGAAGGCGGCUCACUGGUCCGAUACUGACGCUGAGGUGCGAAAGCGUGGGGAGCAAACAGG
rnacentral:rRNA from 1 species